GAUGAACGCUGGCGGCGUGCCUAAUACAUGCAAGUCGAGCGAAUGGAUUAAGAGCUUGCUCUUAUGAAGUUAGCGGCGGACGGGUGAGUAACACGUGGGUAACCUGCCCAUAAGACUGGGAUAACUCCGGGAAACCGGGGCUAAUACCGGAUAACAUUUUGAACCGCAUGGUUCGAAAUUGAAAGGCGGCUUCGGCUGUCACUUAUGGAUGGACCCGCGUCGCAUUAGCUAGUUGGUGAGGUAACGGCUCACCAAGGCAACGAUGCGUAGCCGACCUGAGAGGGUGGUCGGCCACGCUGGGACUGAGACACGGCCCAGACUCCUACGGGAGGCAGCAGUAGGGAAGCUUCCGCAAUGGACGAAAGUCUGACGGAGCAACGCCGCGUGAGUGAUAAAGGCUUUCGGGUCGUAAAACUCUGUUGUUAGGGAAGAACAAGUGCUAGUUGAAUAAGCUGGUACCUUGACGGUACCUAACCAGAAAGCCACGGCUAACUACGUGCCAGCCGCCGCGGUAA
rnacentral:rRNA from 1 species